GCGUUGGUGGUAUAGUGGUUAGCAUAGUUGCCUUCCAAGCAAUUGACCCCGGGUUCGAUUCCCGGCCAACGCA
rfam:Strongylocentrotus purpuratus Contig68757_fixed, whole genome shotgun sequence.